GACGCUUGCUCCAGACCCUCGAAACCUAAAAACUCUGCUCUCGCUUCCCUCGUGAACCUUAUUUUCUUUGAUGUUACUGCGGAUUGGUAUCAACAUGGACGGCGUGGCGAUGCAGAGGGCGCGCGAGUCGCUUGACACCGUGCACAUGAUGUCCAACCUGCUCGGCACCGGUCUGGACCGCCCGACGCUCGCCAUUUUGGUUGCGCUUUGUGAGCACGGCGUUAAUCCUGAAGCUCUGGCUGCCGUAGUCAAAGAGCUGCGCCGAGAGGCAUCUGCACUUGCUGAGAAAGCAACUCAUUGAUACUGGUCGUGAUGGCGCUCACGUUUCCUGAUCUGAAUUUCACUUUGCGCUUUCGUUUGCUCACGAUUGUGCGGAUAACUUAGUUGAGCCGAAUGUAUAUGGAUUGCUACAGAAUGCAAUCACACGGAUUUUUCAGCAUCGUCAAGUUUGUAAAAGCAUACACUUUCUGAUGAAAAGAGAUUCUGCAUCUGCGCUUACAAGCGGCAUAGGCGGUGAGAAUGACUGCAACAUAAUGCUGUUGUAAUACUCGAUGUUCCGAAUCUUCAGCUUGAUAAUAGAAGAUUUGAAUUUGCAGGUUAUGCUGCUGUUUUUUGUGUUUCGAUGCCCGUUACAAUCUUGAGCGACUCUGAGGCGAUAUGCUAAAUGAAUGCUGAGGUCCUUUAGUGUUCUCUUAGAAGCCUAUUCUAAACGACAGCUUCAUUUGGAGUACCUAUAGCUUGAACUGUAGGAUCUGUCUGUCUGUCUUAUAGGAGGCUCUCGUAAAAAUUGUACAGGAACAUACAGAUGAUUCAUUGGAUAUGACUUGUUUGUGAAGAGUUCUUCUGCAUUCUCUAUUUUAAUAUUCAAAGUUCCUUUUCACACUGCGUUUCUGCAAUUUGGUGCAAUUGUUGCUCGAAUAUGUAGCUUCUAAUUCCUUCCACCUGAUUGAUUUGCAUCAUCGGUUCAAUAUUUAUGCGUACGCUUGCAUCUUUGUCGAGUAAUUAUAUUUCUAAUGUGCUUGCAUACAAGCUUCCGUGCUUUGCUUUUGCAGGAUGGCGUUAGCUACCUAAUUUUCCUCAUUACUCGUACUUGAUAAGUACUUAACAUUUUCAUAUGCUCAAUUUCACAUCCCAAACCCCGGCAAGAGAAGUACAGAAAAUAGUUUUGCACUACUGGGUUUGAUGCCAUGUCAACACUGCCAAAUAUGCAAAGCUUUGUGGCAUUGAAUAUAAGCUCAAUAUGAAAUUCCAGAUUACAACUACUAAUCAACAGUAACUCUAACCGGUGGGAGUCCCAGGUGUUGGCAUGAUGUAGCGACAGUAUUAGUGUGACUGGGUUGUGGCACAGAAUCUCAUUUGUUGAUGAUAACUGACGCCGUCAUGGUUUCAAUAUAAAUACGAGCACGAAUCACAAGUCGCAACAUCUUCAUGCUGCCAGUUGUGCCGCUGAUGAACAGCACACGCCUGUGUCCAGAAUAGUUGGGGGCUAUCAUAUGGACUGGGGAUGUGUUGUCCCAGUCUGUGAGAUAGAAAAUCACUCGCGAAUGGCGAGCAUCGUCCUCGGUUUGUGUGGACUACGUACUUCCGACUUCCUGGAUGAUUGGGAAGUUUGGAAUUGUGGCCGCGUGGAAGAGGUUUUCAAAGGAGUUUUGGAUGAGCAGCAGCAGCUGGAUGAGUGCAUCAAGUCGUAUGUCGCCUGCAGUAUUUGCGUGUUUUCUCUGUUGUUGUUGUGCAUGAGUCCGUGGAAAGUCGGAAGCAUGCGGGAACAAACGUAGCGCCAGCUGAACCCGUCGAAAUGCAAGAACGCGCCUCUUGCUGCUUCCAGGCUCAUUUGGAUCGGAGUAUUCCAGGGUCAAGAUUUGCAUCCGAGCACUUCCGCUCGUGCGGUUCAUGUUUUGUAGGGCUGUCGAGAACGGUUGAAGGCGUAAACUGGGGCGGUUGGCCUGGAAGGAUCUCCAGCGGAACUUCAUGAAGUGUUGGAGAGAAAGUUCUUUCCAAUUCGCGAUUCCCAGACUUCUACAAUCUUGGAUUGGCGUCGGCGUGUGCCAUGUUGUCCAUGUGUGUGGUACUUUUCGAGUGCGGUACUCUUCCUGUCGGAGGAAUAUCCACCGUGCCAAUGCAGGAGGCAGUGGUAGCACGAGGUAGCGCUGCGAGGAACACUGGGGCAACUGCAGGGAGGAGAAGUCCCAAGCAACAAAGCCCCAGAACGCAUGGCGCCUGGAAUACACACCACGAAGCAGGCUACCCAAUAUAAAAAGGCACAAAAGGGUGCGCCAUCGCCAAGGAAUGAAGAGCAGAAAGACGUCAGAAGAAGAAGAACAUGCCCAGGAGAUUAGGCAUGCCAAUGUUCAAUAGGCAUUUGUAGGGGAUCCUGUUGCACGCAGGGCGGCAGGGGAGUGGCAAUGGGGGCGGGGGGUCGAGGCAAGGAGGUGAGGGCACAGGGGAGAGGGUGACAGAAGUGCGAGGGGUGGGAGAGUGGGAGGGUGAAGGAGAAGGUUUGGGGGGAGGCGCAGGAUUAGGAGCAGGAGGCAGCGAGUGAUGGCAGCGGAGGGGUCGCGAAAUGUCCCAUAACGUGUGGGGGAAGUGAGGAGGAGGUCGGGGUAUAAUGAGGGCGAGGCGGGAGAGGGAUGGUAUACCUUUCUCGGCCUUUUGGCUAAGAUCAAGUGUAGUAUCUGUUCUUAUCAGUUUAAUAUCUGAUACGAGGCUCAUCGAGCCUCAUGAUAUUAAUCUAAUUUUUCUCGGGUGCGGGCCCAUUCGGCAGCUUGCUGCCCGGGCCAGCGCGCGUCGCCUUGGUAUUGCACUACCUCCUAGGCUGGCACAGCCCUCCCCCUCCAUCCCCGGAGGGAC